CAAUAAUUACACAAUACAAAACUACAACAUUACUGACAAAAGGCUAUAACAGUUGCUAGCUGUUAUUCAACAUUUUACUUACAAGGCCCCAGCCCUUUGGCUGGGGUUAAGUCAGAGCUGGUACUACAUGAUCAGUCAGGUACAGGCAAACAGAGAGCUUGCUUCUCCUAACAUCUGGUUUUUAUUCAGUGUAAGUAGGCUGGCCUGUGAUGUCACUGCCAGAAGCACAGGUCUUCCUACACACUCCCCC